UAUUAGGUUGGUGCAAAAGUAAUUGCGGUUUUUGCCAUUACUUUUAAACUGGCAAAAACCGCAGUUACUUUUGCACCAACCUAAUAUUU
ensembl:miRNA